GGACGGCCUGCCGCUGGCCUGCGCCCUUCGGGUGGCAGACGAGAGGAAAGUCCGGGCCACACAGGGCACUCCGCUACCUAACCGAUAGAAGUCCGUGAGGGCUUGCACGUGCAGAAGAAAACAACCGCCGCACUCGUGCGGUAAGGGUGAGAAGGUGGGGUAAGAGCCCACCAGGCGUAUGGCGACAUGCGUGCUGUGCACACCGGAGGCGGAAAGUUCGCGUAUACCAACGAAGCGUCGACUGCGUCCAUCAUGGGCGUAAGGGCGAGAAAGGGCGGCCCGUCCGAGUUGGAGGGUAGAACGAUAGAGGCGUCGCGAGAGCGGCGUCGUAGAUAAAUGGCAAGCACCCGCACUGCGGGUACAGAACCCGGCUUACAGAUCCACUGC
rnacentral:RNase_P_RNA from 1 species